CCCGCGUCGCUCCUCCUCGGGGCGGCUCGGGCGGAGCCCGAACCCCGCAUCGCCGGCCCUCCAGCACCGCCCCCUCCCCUCGCCGCCACCCGAGUGGCCGCUAGAAGCCCGCGCGGCCACAAAGAAGGUGGCGGCGGGGCUCCACUGCCCUCUCCUUCUCCUUUCCUCCUCCCUCACGCUCUCUUCGAGCUGACCUCUAGCCAUGGCGGCGGCGGCGUGCUCCGGCCGUCCGCGGCUAGAUCCGGGCUGGUGCCGGGCAGAUCCGCCCCUUCGGCCUCUGGAUCUGCCUUCCUGGGCUCUCGGCAUGCCGGGAGCUGGCUGCGGCGACGGCGGCGGAGGUUGUCCUGUGGCGGUGGCGGCUGGCUGCUGCGCGUCCCGGCGGCGGCGCCGUCGGCCUGGCGCGGCGUGCGUCGGGGGGCACGGGGCGGACGGCUGCAGGUGGCGCGUGUGUUGGGCUGCUGCUCGGCCUGGCCUGUGGCGGCUUCGGCGUCCGAUCUCGGCGUCGCCCAUCAACGGAGCGUUCGCGACCGCCGGCGUGGCGGGACUGCGCGGCUGCGGCGGCGCCCACGGCCGGCUCGCCGGGCGCUGCGGGCGGGCUAUUGGUGCCGGCAUCUAUGAUGCGGCGGCCAGUGGCACCCCCCUCUUGCCGGGUGCGGCUCUCCCUCGCCGGGGCUCGUGGAUGCCGGUGGCCUGUCCCUCGCCGUGUGGCUGGCCCCUCGCCGUGCGCGUCCACCCCUCGUCGGGGCUCGCAGUCGCCAGUGGCCGGCCCCUCUCCGUGCGCGGAACCCCCUCUCCGGGGCUUGCGGCCGCCGGUGGCUGGCCCCUUUCGCUGGGUGUGGCUGCUGGUGGCCCUCGCUUUCUGGGCGCUGUCUGCGGUGGGUGCCGGGCCGGCCGGCGGGCUCAUCUGCGCUGUGGCGGCCGUCGGCUCUGGGUUGGAAAGGGCUGGUGGCGAAAACCUUGGUUCUGCUUGCGGAUCGAUGACGACGACGCCCUCGGGCGCCGUUUACCUUGUUGAAGGCGUCAUCCUUCCGCCUUUUUCCACCUUCUCCGGUUAGUCUUUCCGGGUAAAAACCUAGAUCAUGUUAGUCGGACGACGGCGCCUGUGGCGUCGUUUCCUUCUUGGAGGUGUUGUCUUGGAAGCUUUGCUGGUGGCCGUCAGCUGCUUUUCUUGGAGAGUUUCUAUUUCUGCGCCUGCCUUCGCUUCGUUUCAUCUGUAUUUAUAAUAGACAAACAAGAAGGAACUCGCUGUAAAUUGCCGCACUCCUAAUAAGCUAUUAAGCUUGUGCAGCAGGCUGUUUUCAGAGGGACCUACUGAUUGCGCUUAUGGGCGCAACUGCAGUAUAAAGAUACGAUAAAGGUGAUGUUCCGAAAAACAAGUCUUGCAUUGGAGGCGGUCUCCUUAGAGAUAACCAAUCAUGGGUGGAAGCAUAACCUUAGAAUUGGUUUAGAUGAUUUUCUCUUUGUUCAUUCCCCAGUUAGCCAAUAGACGGCUAUGUUUUUUAAUAAUCUUUGGGCUGUGUACACUUUGUAGAGGCCGGAACUCAUUUUCAUUAUCUAAAAAAUAUGAUGGUCAAAGUGUCAAAAUGGAUGAAAGUAUUUAACUCA